CGAUUUUUAGGAAAAAUUAAACAUCAAAUCUCCAUCUUUAGGAAUUCAAAGGUCCGUGAAUUUGUAUGUUAUUCAUACGGAAACAUACUUUUUUUUGGCUAAAUCUUAGCAUGAAGGUCCACCUUCGUGAUUUCAAUGGUCCAUGUGUUUGUACAAGACACUUAGUAUUGAACCUGGAACAUCCCUUAAGCUCCUGAAUUGAAAUAGAAGAACGUUACUUUAUGAAAAUAAGAUUGUGAGUGUAUUUUUCCUGUUUGUUUGGUGUAUUCUGGUGGUUUGUGUACGGGAGUUUUUAAACGGUGGAAAGUGAAGGUGAACAGAGGGAAUGUUUGUUUAUAUGUUUGGUUAGAAGAGAAUGCAGUCAGGUAAGGUUAGACAUGAUUAAACCGCUCUAAUGGACUUGAAGAAGUGUUCCCCGUGGAAAUAAAAGCAAGUCUUUUUACGAUAAUUAGCACUUCAGAGAAGCUUCCCGCUAGCAGCAGCUCAUUAUGAUGUCACAGUGGCACUGCACUGUCAUAACAGCACUAGUGAGGUGCGGUGUUCUUGAAACACACUAGUUAUUUCUGUUGGAAAACUGACUGCAACUUAAUUCAAGCGAUCGAGCAGCCUUGUCUCCAAGGCCAUUGUUUCUCAAAACAAGCCUUAGUGCUUGAGUACACAUGCUGAGGUUUAGAAACUUGCAAACGGAUAUCCACCCGAGCUCGCCGCUGCUGCAAACCUCUUUAUAACAAUUAAAAAGUUGCUGACAGAAUGUGUAAAAGAAUAGGACCGCUCGUCUCCAGCUCACCCACCGUGGUGUCAGGAGUACAAGCGCGAUGUGAAAUCACAUUACCCGAGUGCUCGGUUAAUUACAGAUGCUUGAGAAGAGCGCCGUGAAUACAAAUGUCACACUGAUUGUGGAUGUCGAGCUGCCGGGGGCUCAGAUCAGAUGCCGAGAUAGAUUGAUCGUGUCUCUAAUGGCUCACAGCAUGUCGAGAUGUAUUAACAUCAUCAAGAGGAAUCAUUUGAGCUUCCUGCGUCAGCGAAUGGCUUGAUUUACUGAGGCAUCUAAAUGUCGUGUUGGUGUACAACAAAAGUUGAAAGAAUGUACGUGAUCGAUUGCAUCAGAUGUCAUUUACAGGGCUUGGAAAACCAAUUGUGAGUUUCAAGCCUGGAAAAGUCAUGGAUGAAAACAUUUAUUUGCUGAAAUGCUUGGUUGCUGGAAAAUUCAUGGAAAUUAAUUUUUCUAAACUUACAGGAAGUACCCUGUGACUAGUUAUAUUUCUCCGAAAACAUUUGAUACAUUUUAUCAUUAAUUUGACUAAUAUUUCAUGUGACCUUACCUGGAUUUGAAGGAAGUAGGCCUGUUUUAAGCAUGGAUUACGGUGGAGAGAGUUGUAUGUGUGCUAGCUGUGAUGUAUGAAGUGCUUGAAAGGAGUUUGGUAGGUUUGAUUUAUCUUUUUCUGUGUUAAUCUGCAUUUUUGAUCAGAUGCAUCAGUGUUUGGUGUGAGGCGGCAGGGUGUGUUUAUGUGUUCACUUUGAUGCGAACAAGUGCAAAAAGGGAACAUGCUGCGGCGGUCUAAUCUCUUGCUGUUUUCUGUCCCUGUCUCUGCUUGGCUGUCUGCACUAAUUACCGUUCUUCUCCUCUUAAUUAACAGUCACGAAAAAACAGCACGUGGGGCCAGUGACAUCUUGCUUAAAAGAAUGUUUUGAUGAGCAUCACUCUGAAAUGUACAUUUAUUGAGAACAUUGGAUGUAAGGAAUGUUUGGCUAGAUAUUUGCAAAACCCUCUUGUCAUAAGGUAUAUUUAAAAGUGUACUCUUGGACAUAUUGAGAAAAGGCCUUGCAUUGAUAUUAUUCAGCGCUCAGCCAAAUCUACAUUUUGUAUGCAUUUCUUUUAAAGCUCUAAAGGUCUAAGCUUCAGUUUUAAUUUUCAGCAUUUUGUUUUUUUUUUUACUUUACGUUUUGUUUUUGUACCUUUUUAUGUUUUUCAUUGUAUCUUGCAUUGUCCUAAAGGAAAACACAAUAAAAUGUAUCCUCCUUGUUCUUAUAUCUCACUGUCAUGCUUUGCUCUACAUUUAGCAGAGAACAUUCAUCUUUCAUAGAUUUAUAUGUAGAGAUUUAGGAGUCAGGUGUUAGACAGUCAAGGAUUUAGGUAUCAUGUCUCUAAAUCCAACAACACCAUUUGUCUUUUUCGUUUGAACAUGAUAGAGCAAUGAUAGUUCAC
ensembl:lncRNA